rnacentral:rRNA from 1 species
GACGAACGCUGGCGGUGUGCUUAACACAUGCAAGUCGAACGGAAAGGCCCUGCUUUCGUGGGGUGCCCGAGUGGCGAACGGGUGCGUAACACGUGUGUAACCUGCUCUUGAUUUUGGGAUAACUUAAGGAAACUGGGGUUAAUACCGGAUAGGAUCUCCCGCUGCAUGGUGGGGGUUGGAAAGUCUCGGCGGGAGCGGAUGGAUUCGCGGCUUAUCAGCUUGUUGGUGGGGUAGUGGCUUACCCACGCUGUGACGGAUACGCGGCCUGAGAGGGAGACCGGCCACAUGAGGACUGAGGGACGGCCCAGACGCCUACAGGAGACAACGGUGGGGAGUAUGACACAGUGAUCGGGAGCCUGAUACGACAACGCCGCGGGCGGGAUGACGGCCUGCGGGUAGUAAACCGCUUUCGCCUGUUACGAAGCGUGAGUGACGGUAAUGGAUAAAGAAGCACCGGCUAACUUCGUG